rnacentral:rRNA from 1 species
UACAGAGGGUGCGAGCGUUGUCCGGAAUCACUGGGCGUAAAGGGCGCGUAGGUGGCGCUGCAAGUCGGUGGUGAAAGCUCGACGCUUAACGUCGAGUCGGCCAUCGAAACUGCAGGGCUCGAGCACUGUAGGGGCAGAUGGAAUUCCGGGUGUAGCGGUGGAAUGCGCAGAUAUCAGGAAGAACACCAACGGCGAAGGCAGCUCGCUGGGACGGUACUGACGCUGAGACGCGAAAGCGUGGGGAGCGAACAGG